rnacentral:rRNA from 1 species
AGUGAACGCUGGCGGUAGGCCUAACACAUGCAAGUCGAACGGCAGCACAAGAGAGCUUGCUCUCUGGGUGGCGAGUGGCGGACGGGUGAGGAAUACAUCGGAAUCUACUUUUUCGUGGGGGAUAACGUAGGGAAACUUACGCUAAUACCGCAUACGACCUACGGGUGAAAGCAGGGGACCUUCGGGCCUUGCGCGAUUGAAUGAGCCGAUGUCGGAUUAGCUAGUUGGCGGGGUAAAGGCCCACCAAGGCGACGAUCCGUAGCUGGUCUGAGAGGAUGAUCAGCCACACUGGAACUGAGACACGGUCCAGACUCCUACGGGAGGCAGCAGUGGGGAAUAUUGGACAAUGGGCGCAAGCCUGAUCCAGCCAUACCGCGUGGGUGAAGAAGGCCUUCGGGUUGUAAAGCCCUUUUGUUGGGAAAGAAAUCCAGCCGGCUAAUACCUGGUUGGGAUGACGGUACCCAAAGAAUAAGCACCGGCUAACUUCGUGCCAGCCGCCGCCGUAA